GCUACAGGCUUAACACAUGCAAGUCGAGGGGUAGCAGGGUAGCAAUACCGCUGACGACCGGCGCACGGGUGAGUAACACGUAUCCAACCUUCCCAUAACUCGGGGAUAGCCUUUCGAAAGAAAGAUUAAUACCCGAUAGUACUUAUAUAAGGCAUCUUAAAUAAGUUAAAGAUUUAUUGGUUAUGGAUGGGGAUGCGUUCCAUUAGAUAGUUGGUGAGGUAACGGCUCACCAAGUCUUCGAUGGAUAGGGGUUCUGAGAGGAAGGUCCCCCACAUUGGUACUGAGACACGGACCAAACUCCUACGGGAGGCAGCAGUGAGGAAUAUUGGUCAAUGGGCGAGAGCCUGAAUCAGCCAAGUAGCGUGAAGGAUGACGG
rnacentral:rRNA from 1 species